GAGGUGAGAUGAGAGAAUGAAGAAGUGUUUUGGAAAUGAAUGAAUGAUCAAGUAUGAAGAUGAUGAUGAUAGUACGAUUCAGCCUCACACACACGCUAUCGAAAACAAACCCUAGAAGUAGAAGUAGAAACGCAACAGUAACCAUUCAAGCUCCGUGUUACUGAGAAAUACAGAUCCCAUUUCCAAUUCUAUCCCUCAGAUCUCACUUUCUUCAACUCGAGACAAACACUAUAAGGAAGCAGUUUGUAGGGCCACCAUAGCACGGAAGUUUAUACCAUUAUUCAUGGGCAUGGGCAGUGCUUUCAAAUACGUAUAAGGGGCUACAACCACUUUUGGAUGGUGUGCUUAAUAAUUUGCCGUGUCCAACUGAAGCAACUAAUUAUGCUCUCAUCCAAUCUAAGAAUGAGGAAAAGGUACCAAAUUCAAAGAAACAAUUGAAUGAGAUUAUUUUUAUUGCUUGAGAGAAAAUGCUCUUAUCCUUUGUUAUUAAUAGAGGAAAGAACCUAGGCUAGCUAACUGUGGUCUAGCCACAGAUUAGCACACCACCUCUAACUGACUCAGUUGAAUCAGUUACUGGCAUAACUGACUGACUCACACCAGUCAGUCACUGCCAAGGUGUAACUGGCAGUGGCCAGUCAUAGGAUGCUGUACAAAUAGAUCAUUCCACAUUGUUUAUAGUAAUCACAAUUCAUAAUCAAAGAAAUUCAGUUUAGAAAUUCUACAAUCCUCUCUGAAUUCAGUUACUCCAGAAUCUUUGAGGUUUCAGACGUUCACGUCGAGCCUCCGACCUCUGCGAUUGCCUCGCUGGUGAUUAAAGCUCUGGGGACAGUUGCAGUUGCUCCGGCAACAGUUAUGGCUGCCUCGGCAACAGUUGCAGCUUUCCCGGUGACAGUUAUUGUGGCACCAUCACUGCUUCUCAGUCUUGUACCGUCUUCUUCAACGAACAAGAACUCUUUCUGUGCAAUCUCUGAGAAACUUGACUCAAAACUAUCUGAUAUGGACGCAACAAGUUGAACCUAUGAGUAAAGCACAUAAGUUGCAUCAUUUCUUGAUCAAUCCUUCAAAUCCUUCCAAAUUCAGAACUCUUGAAGAUGUGGACGCAAAUUGCGUUACGCCAGAACUUGAUGCUUGGGAGCAACAGGACCAAAUUGUUUUGUCUUGGCUCCAAUCUACUAUCAAGAAGGAGAUGCUUAUGUGUAUUACUGGGUGAAAGCACUCUUAAAUACUUUGGGAUAAAGUUCAUGCAUACUUUCAGCAACAUAGUCAUGCCAAACUCUGCCAGCUUUGUUCUGAUUUGUGAAGCACCGUGCUUGAAACCUAGAAGAAUUCUGUAUCUGAAUUUCUCUUAAAAAUUCAGUCUUUGAUUAGUUCAAUCAAUGCUACCGAGAGUCAAUUUCUGCUCGUGAGCACCUAGACGUAUUUCCAGUGGCUGGAAUUUACCUUUUUUAAGGUGAAUAAGUGGGA